rnacentral:rRNA from 1 species
GCUUGUCUCAAAGAUUAAGCCAUGCAUGUCUUAGUGUAAAUAACUCUUAUGAAACUGCGAAUGGCUCAUUAAAUCAGUUAUCAAAUACGUGAUGGUCGCCUACUACAUGGAUAACCGUAGUAAUUCUAGAGCUAAUACAUGCAGGAAGACCCGACUCACGAAGGGUUGUAUUUAUUAGAUAAGAAACCUUCCCCUUUGGGUUGCGUGCCGAGUCACAAUAACUGCUCGAAUCGCAUGGCUUCACGCCGGCGAUGGUUCAUUCAAAUUUCUGCCCUAUCAGCUUUCGAUGGUAGGAUCGAGGCCUACCAUGGCGUUUACGGGUAACGGAGAAUUAGGGUUCGAUUCCGGAGAGGGAGCCUGAGAGAUGGCUACCACAUCCAAGGAAGGCAGCAGG